UCCAUUCUCUUAAGCCGAAUUUUCAGUAGGCCUUCCAUCCCUUAGCGUAAAUUCUAAAUCCCUUGAGAAAGAGUUUCAACAAAAGAUGAUUUUGCAAUCGCAAUGUUGUUGCUUUGAGCAUUUCAUAUGGAUUGUUCUCUAUUUCAAUCUCGUUAUUACAUGUUUCGUCGCAAUUAACGUGUGUUAGAGGGAUUGUUAAGAGAAUCGACUCAGGUAUGUUAAGGCUAUCCCUUCUUUCUUUUGGCAUGAUCUAUACAACACAAACGAAACGAACAAAUGCGCAAUUUUAAUAAAUGACUCUAUUCAUAGAAAUGCUAGAGAUGCUUAUGUUCUUGAUUCUCCAUGUGUCAUAAUAUUCUAUCAUCUGUUCAUGGGUCUCAGAAAAAUACGUAAGUUGAAAAGGUUUACUUCAUGAUAUUAUUCAAAGGCAUAAUGAUCUUAUGACACUCCAAGAGAUUUUAUUGACGUACUUCUCAUGCAUUACAUUCAUGUACAUUGAUCCAUGACCAGAUGGCAUUAUAUACGCGUAUAUAUAUAUAUAUGGGAUAAGGAAAAAGGUUACGACGUUAUAUACGCACCACCACCUGAUCAGCUGGUAUACGUUGAUAAUUUACCCACAGUGGCCGAGAUGAUAUAAUGGGAUGCCCUCAGAGGCUUGAUGAUGUUAUGAACACAUAUACCCAUGCAUGGUAUGACAUUUAUAUGCAUAUGCAUGACAUUAUAAAAAUGAAAUGAUUCACAGAUCUAUGCAAACGUACAUGUCGAGUCUUUUUCUCCAUGUUUCUCUCAUGUCUAUUAUUUACUGAUUUUCAUUCCUUACAUACUCGGUACAUUAUAUGUACUGACGUCCCUUUUGCAUGGGGACGCUGGGUUUCAUGCCUGCAGGUCCCGAUAGACAGGUCUAGAGCCCUCCAAGUAGGCUAUCAGCUCAGCGGAAGAUGUUGGUGCGCUCCAUUUGCUUCGGAGUUGCUUGUUUGGUUAGUAUGAUUUAGAUGUGUAUUGUUUGGUAUGGCGGGACUCUGUCCCGACCUUUAUAAAAAUUAUGUAUUCUUAGAGGCUUGUAAAAAGAUGUCAUGUACGUAAAAGAUUGUAUGGCCUUGUCGGUCUAUGUUCAGUGUACGAGUGGUUAUUUUGGCCUUAUAGGCCCGUAUGUCUUAUGUUUAAGUUGGUAUCACAUGUUGUAUUCUAUUUACUCACGGCAGCCUUCCGGUUCAGUUAUCUA
rnacentral:lncRNA from 1 species